AAAAGCUUUAUUCAGCUGUAAUAAUUUUAUUACUUAGAUUGAAUCUUAAUCAUUAGGUUAGCAGAUCAGGAAAAAGUGUCAUGGUUUUGAAUGUUUGUCUCUUUAAUAAUUGCAUUGUGUAUUGAUCCACAAAGUUUGCAGCAUGACAGCAUGACAGUGUGUAUUGAUCCACAAAGUUUGCAGCAAUUGUGGAAUACUAUGGUAGUACAAUAUAUUGAUCCACACAGUUUGUGGCAUGACAGUUUAAGGAAAUUACAGAAGUGUAGCACUGAUGGGUAUGUCAUGUGAACAUUUUUCAAUGGAGCUACUUGUUUAAAUUUACAUGGGUGAAUUGUCACACCAAUAUCCUCUGAUGAACCUUGGGUUUUUUUUUUUUUUUCUUUUUCUUCCUCUCUUGGUCAAGCCAAACAAUUUGUCUUCAUGAGGACUUCAUGUUACCAAUAAGCAGCAUCUUGUGUUCUCCUUCUCUUCAUCCCCUUGUCAAGACAACAAUUUGAUGCAUCUUUGCAUUGGGUUGCUUCCUCUCCCUCUCCUUCCUCCUUGAGGCAAAACCAUAUCAUUGCUUAGUUUUGACUAUGUUCUUUUGAUCAUUGUGAGAAAGCAUCAUUGUAAGAUGUACAAGAAACGUGUUGUGGUGCAUUAUCCCCUUCUCUACCACCUAAAAUCUAUUUUACACGAUCAUAAGGACCAAGGUGUUUUAAGCAUCAGGUAAGGAAUUUGUUGACAAUGAUGUGAGAGAUAGAGACAUGCAACAUACCGGUAUUCAAAAGACGUGAUGUUCUUCUUUUGCAUUUGACAAUAUUCAUUUAGUCUGAACUCCAUAUUUGAGCAACUUAGAAUCUCCACCUUCAUUAGGAUUGCAGGAAGUUGGCUUCUUGGAAAGACAUGGAAAGGGAGCAUCUAGAAAUCUGAAAGAAUUCCAGAGGCUUGUUGCUACUUUUGAAUCAUUCCAAUCAAUAGCAACUCCAAAAGAUAUAUACAAAUCUAUCCCUGGAAAAGAGAUGUGUCCUGUGCAUAUGCAACCAUCUCUCUAAUAGACUCGGGAUUGUGCAUCCUCAUGGUAGUUUCAUAUAUAUUGCACCAUAUGAAUUGUAGAUAUCCAACUACCAAUAUCACUACACCUGAAUGAACUAGGAGUUAUGCUGAAAGUGAAUUUGGACAACCCAUCAUCGAAAGAAUCCUGUAGGAAUACACCAAAAAGAAAAUCUUAUUAACAUAAAUGAAUUCAUCCCGCUAAUGGAUAAAGUUGCCUAAAAAAUUAAAUUGGGAGAGAUAGAAAUAUUGAUGCUUACAUGGGACUGUGAGAGGGACCAACAAGUGGAACAAACAUUGAAUAGUAAAUGUAAAACCAUAAAGCUCGUAACUGUUGUCAAAAGCUGCUCUCUACUGAAGUUUUUUUAACAAUAAAGGUAAGUAGAAAAUUCACCUAAUAGCUCCACUUGUAGGAAAUUUCAAUGGUGUGAAACUAGGAUAUGGUGAACUCACUUUUGCUAAUGCAGUGAACCAUUAUGGAUAAAAAAUGAAUCUCACCAUCAGUUUUCACAUAGGAGAUGUGGGCUCUCUUUGGCCCAUUUCUCAGUAUUGGAUCUAAGAGUUUUGUCUCUCAUAUAUGGUUCCACUUGCCAAAUACAAUGGAGCUUAGCUGAUGACAACACAUUCAGAAAAAUGCAAGAAUUCCAAAGACAUGUUUUGUGCUAUCAUGAAUCAUUCCAAUCAAUAAGGAAUCGAAGUGCUAUAAUUUUGAAUUGUCUUAGGGAACAUACCCCAAUUCAAUCUUGCGGAAGUAAACUGUCUUGAGCACCAACUCAAUUCUGAGAUCUUUGGAAGACUUGAGACACCAAUUCAAUAAAAAAUGCUAGUUGUUUUUGUGGUAGAUUGUCUUCCUCCACUAAUACUGGGGAAAAUGCUUUUGAAAACCAUUAAU
rnacentral:lncRNA from 1 species